UACGUAGGGGGCAAGCGUUGUCCGGAAUUAUUGGGCGUAAAGAGCGUGUAGGCGGUCCGAUAAGUCGGCUGUGAAAGUCAGGGGCUCAACCCUUGAAAGCCGGCCGAUACUGUCGGACUAGAGUCCGGAAGAGGCAAGUGGAAUUCCCGGUGUAGCGGUGAAAUGCGCAGAUAUCGGGAGGAACACCAAUGGCGAAGGCAGCUUGCUGGGACGGUACUGACGCUGAGGCGCGAAAGCGUGGGGAGCAAACAGG
rnacentral:rRNA from 1 species